AUUGAACGCUGGCGGCAGGCCUAACACAUGCAAGUCGAACGAGUGGCGAACGGGUGAGUAAAGUCUGGGAAACUGCCUGAUGGAGGGGGAUAACUACUGGAAAAGGUAGCUAAUACCGCAUACCAUCGAAUGGGCCCAGAUGGGAUUAGCUAGUAGGGGGGGUAAAGGCUCACCUAGGAGACGAUCCCUAGCUGGUCUGAGAGGAUGAACAGCCACACUGGAACUGAGACACGGUCCAGAUUCCUACGGGAGGCAGCAGUGGGGAAUAUUGCACAAUGGGCGCAAGCCUGAUGCAGCCAUGCCGCGUGUAUGAAGAAGGCCUUCGGGUUGUAAAGUACUUUCAGCGGGGAGGCGUUACCCGCAGAAGAAGCACCGGCUAACUCCGUGCCAGCAGCCGCGGUAAUAC
rnacentral:rRNA from 1 species